GGUCCUGUGGCCGAGCGGCUAGGCAGAGGUCUGCAAAACCUUUUACACCAGUUCAAAUCUGGUCGGGACCU
rnacentral:tRNA from 1 species